AGUGAACGCUGGCGGUAGGCCUAACACAUGCAAGUCGAACGGCAGCACAGUAAGCGCUUGCUCUUACGGGUGGCGAGUGGCGGACGGGUGAGGAAUACAUCGGAAUCUACUUUUUCGUGGGGGAUAACGUAGGGAAACUUACGCUAAUACCGCAUACGACCUACGGGUGAAAGCAGGGGAUCUUCGGACCUUGCGCGAUUGAAUGAGCCGAUGUCGGAUUAGCUAGUUGGCGGGGUAAAGGCCCACCAAGGCGACGAUCCGUAGCUGGUCUGAGAGGAUGAUCAGCCACACUGGAACUGAGACACGGUCCAGACUCCUACGGGAGGCAGCAGUGGGGAAUAUUGGGCAAUGGGCGCAAGCCUGACCCAGCCAUGCCGCGUGGGUGAAGAAGGCCUUCGGGUUGUAAAGCCCUUUUGUUGGGAAAGAAAAGCAGCAGGUUAAUACCCCGCUGUUCUGACGGUACCCAAAGAAUAAGCACCGGCUAACUUCGUG
rnacentral:rRNA from 1 species